rnacentral:tRNA from 1 species
GGUUGUGUAGUGUAAUGGCUAGCACUCGAGAUUCUGAGUAUCCUCUCUAGAACAUUCUCGCAAUCCCGGUUCGAUCCCGGGCACGACCU